rnacentral:rRNA from 1 species
GAUGAACGCUGGCGGCGUGCUUAACACAUGCAAGUCGAACGGAAAGGCUCCUGCUUGCAGGGGUACUCGAGUGGCGAACGGGUGAGUAACACGUGGGUGAUCUGCCCUGCACUUCGGGAUAAGCCUGGGAAACUGGGUCUAAUACCGGAUAGGACGAUGGUUUGGAUGCCAUUGUGGAAAGUUUUUUCGGUGUGGGAUGAGCUCGCGGCCUAUCAGCUUGUUGGUGGGGUAAUGGCCUACCAAGGCGUCGACGGGUAGCCGGCCUGAGAGGGUGUACGGCCACAUUGGGACUGAGAUACGGCCCAGAGUCCUACGGGAGGCAGCAGUGGGGAAUAUUGCACAAUGGGCGCAAGCCUGAUGCAGCGACGCCGCGUGGGGGAUGACGGCCUUCGGGUUGUAAACUCCUUUCGCUAGGGACGAAGCGCAAGUGACGGUACCUGGAGAAGAAGCACCGGCUAACUACGUG